UGCAAGUCGAGCGGAAACGGCAGUAUUGAAGCUUCGGUGGAUUUACUGGACGUCGAGCGGCGGACGGGUGAGUAACGGCUGGGAACCUGCCCUGACGAGGGGGAUAACCGUUGGAAACGACGGCUAAUACCGCAUAAUGUCUUGAUUCGUUAGAGGCUGGACCCAAGGUGGCCUCUACCUGGWARCUAUCCCSKUGGGAUGGGCCCAGUUAGGAUUAGCUAGUUGGUAAGGGAAUGGCUUACCCAGGCAACGAUCCUUAGCUGGUUUGAGAGGAUGAUCAGCCACACUGGGACUGAGACACGGCCCAGACUCCUACGGGAGGCAGGAGUGGGGAAUAUUGCACAAUGGGGGAGACCCUGAUGCAGCCAUGCCGCGUGUGUGAAGAAGGCCUUCGGGUUGUAAAGCACUUUCAGCAGUGAGGAAGGUCGUGUACUUAAUACGUGCACGGCUUGACGUUAGCUGCAGAAGAAGCACCGGCUAACUCCGUGCCAGCAGCCGCGGUAAUACGGAGGGUGCGAGCGUUAAUCGGAAUUACUGGGCGUAAAGCGCAUGCAGGCGGUUUGUUAAGUCAGAUGUGAAAGCCCGGGGCUCAACCUCGGAACCGCAUUUGAAACUGGCAGGCUAGAGUCUUGUAGAGGGGGGUAGAAUUUCAGGUGUAGCGGUGAAAUGCGUAGAGAUCUGAAGGAAUACCAGUGGCGAAGGCGGCCCCCUGGACAAAGACUGACGCUCAGAUGCGAAAGCGUGGGUAGCAAACAGGAUUAGAUACCCUGGUAGUCCACGCCGUAAACGCUGUCUACUUGGAGGUUGAGGUUUUAGACUUUGGCUUUCGGCGCUAACGCAUUAAGUAGACCGCCUGGGGAGUACGGCCGCAAGGUUAAAACUCAAAUGAAUUGACGGGGGCCCGCACAAGCGGUGGAGCAUGUGGUUUAAUUCGAUGCAACGCGAAGAACCUUACCUACUCUUGACAUCCAGCGAAGCCUUUAGAGAUAGAGGCGUGCCUUCGGGAGCGCUGAGACAGGUGCUGCAUGGCUGUCGUCAGCUCGUGUUGUGAAAUGUUGGGUUAAGUCCCGCAACGAGCGCAACCCUUAUCCUUGUUUGCCAGCACRUAAUGGUGGGAACUCCAGGGAGACUGCCGGUGAUAAACCGGAGGAAGGUGGGGACGACGUCAAGUCAUCAUGGCCCUUACGAGUAGGGCUACACACGUGCUACAAUGGCAGAUACAGAGGGCAGCGAGACAGCGAUGUUUAGCGAAUCCCUUAAAGUUUGUCGUAGUCCGGAUUGGAGUCUGCAACUCGACUCCAUGAAGUCGGAAUCGCUAGUAAUCGUGGAUCAGAAUGCCACGGUGAAUACGUUCCCGGGCCUUGUACACACCGCCCGUCACACCAUGGGAGUGGGCUGCACCAGAAGUAGAUAGCUUAACCUUCGGGAGGGCGUUUACCACGGUGUGGUUCAUGACUGGGGUGAAGUCGUAACAAGGUAGCCGU
rnacentral:rRNA from 1 species